CUGUGCCUUAAUUCACCAAAAAAAGUCCCACGGACUCAGGUUCUGACAAAACAGCGGGGAUUCAUUCAGCACAGAUGGCCGAAUUUACACUGUUGUCAGUUUUAUGAAUCCAAUGCAGAACUGUGUCUUAUAUUAAUUUAGUUUUUUGUGCAGACAAACUUGAACACAGUUUCCUGGGCAACAGGGAACAGUGUCAACACCCGCAGGUAGCAUAAAUGUGUUCCGCUUACAUUAGCAUUACCCAUGUGUUCUUGUCUUUGUUUCCCAUUUGGGUCAUUAUUAUUGAUGAGGUAACCAGGAUUAGAUAUAAUUGUUUGCUGUUUUAUCUGUUACUUGUUCAUGUUUGUUCAUUAAUUUGACAGUUGUUUGUGUUGUGGAUUAAGGUUGUGAGGUGACAGAUGUGUCGUGGUGUUGAUCUGAGCUGGGUUCUCCAAAGUGUUCGUUGCUAAUUAUGUGUUCUUGCAAAGCAAUGGCUUGGGUGGAUGUUGCAGCCCAUAUUUUUUUAAUAGAAUUAUAUACAGAAAUCUGUUUAUUUUCACCAUGUGAGCACAGUUUGUACAGUACUGGGAAUGAGGAUUGCGUAAUACCACUAACUGAUGUUUGGUUCUUAAGUAGAAAUGCCUUUGAAGGGUUACGGAUGACACGAAAGACAAGAGAGAUAUUUAGAACAAACAAGCUGGCAUGUUCAAUUUCUAUUUUAAUGUGUUAAGUGAUUCAUAACCUUCUGGGGAAUUUCACGCCCCAAAUCAGCUAAAUAAAAAAUACAACUAAAUCUAAACACAGAAUAAUUCUUUUUUUAAUUCUGUGAUUGAACCAAGAUGCUAUCUCAAAACCCAUGUCACUUGAGAACCACAGGCCUUUAAUGCUGUGUGUCAUUUUAACUGAUGAGUGUUGAAGUGAAACUAGUUUGUACAGACAUUUUGGGAAACACAAAUCCAGAAUCCCUCUCUCUGCUGUUCUAAUCGCUCUCGCUGUACUGUGCUGUUUCCCUACAGUGAUUGACAUAAAUGGUAAACUGCAUUGUGGUCUCAGUGGAUCAGUAUUGCCAUGUUCUCUGUAUGUGCUAAUGUGAUUUGGGAGGUGUAUUGAACUCAAGAAAUGUACUAAAGGUGAUAAGAAAGGUAAAGAAAGAAUGAAAACUAAACAUAAGGAAGAUUGGACUCAACUCACUCAGAUGGCGUGUGGGGGUGGGGGUGGGUGUGGGUGUGUGUGUGGGUGUGGGUGUGGGUGUGUGCUUGUGUGGGCAGGUGGAAGGCAGUGUCUGUGAAACACUAAAAAGUAAAAAAAAAGUUAAUAUUUAAAUAUGCAUAUUUAUGUUAUAUUACUUUACACUUUGAAUUUUAUCCUUAUAAUGACAUUUGGUUGUAGAAACACAAGCAUAACUCCUUUGAGGUAAUUCUGCCACUUCAAACUCGGAUUGAUUUACAGCACUGGCUUCAGUACGUUUACAUGCACACCAAUAUUCCACUAUUAUUCCAAAUAUGACAAUAUUCCAAAUUUGAUACAGGUCAUAUAAACAGCAUAUCCCGGUUGGAUAUUCUGAAUAAGGCCUUUUCCCGAAUAUAGCAUUUUCCGAUUAAGACAUGGGAUAUUCCGGUAUUAUUCUGGUUUUAGAGGCAUUCUUUUGGACAUGUAUACACCAUUGUCUCUACCCGAUGUGAGUCGAGUGCAUAUGUGAGUUGCACAUGCUCAGAUUUACACAGUUUAUGGCAUAACAUGUCCAUAAAAUAACUAACUUUUCUCUUUACAAACACUAACAGAAGAUGGAAAUCAUUUCAAAAACAUUUUAGCUAUGUAUGAUUGUUUGAUUGCUCACGUUAGCUCAAAACGCCAUUCAAGUGACAGCCUUUGCUGUGUUUGAUGCUAACUUGUAGGCAGCAGUGAACAAACUUUGUUAUGUAGGUCCACUUUUACUGUACUGACAUUACAGAAGUCUCUCGUUAGCAUCUUGUAGGCUACUACAAAAAUGAACGCAUGCGCGACUCACAUCUGCACUUGACUCACAUCGGGUGGUGACAGCACAUUCGGAAUAUGCGUCUCAAUGGCGGUUUUACCGCAGUUGACACCCAGUUAAUGGCCUCUUGGCUGUUUACAACUUAAGGUCAGCUCUUUGCGUUUCUAUGGUUGCUGUAAACAAACCAACCAGCCAACAGAUUGCAAGGCUGUUAUCAUCAAAAGAAUUAUCAAAGACUAAGAUAUCAACAGGUUUUUGGAGAUGUGCACACAUCCCUACGCCGACCUUUUAAAGAACGAAAGAGGGACGCUGUGUUGACAUGGUUCAACAAGUCCUCCACUGCUGGUAAACUUGGAAAUAAUGGUGUUUUGCACGGCUGCAUGUAGUGGAAUAUUCCCUCUCAUUAGACAUGUGAACACCUUAGUCGGAAUAUCGUCUUUUUCUUUUCGGAAUAAGGGCAAAAAAUUGAAUAUUAUGUGCAUGUAAACGUAGUCUAUUGACUAGAGUCAGACAUUACCCCAGUUUAACAUUACUGAGAAACAACCACCAAACAAUAUAACAUAAUAAUAAAUAACAGAUACAAAUAAAUAUGGAGCAUCCUCAGGAUCAUAAAUCCCAGGAUGGUGCUUUUGUUUUUGGCUCCAGGCUGGACCCAAUUUAAGGUCUGAAAAUCAGGAUAUUUCUGUCUUUUUUCAUUUUUUUUUUUUUUUUAUCUGGCUCUGGUGAGGUUCUCCAAUUUAACAUGGGGACAUUUUUCAGGGGGAGGUCUCAAAUAAAUCGUUAACUCACCCAAUAGCCAUAAGCAGUUUGUACAUUUUUGGUCAUGUACAGAUUUAAGAGAUGCAAUAAAUUGAUUUGUUUCAUUUAGAGGAGUUCUUUUAACUGAUUUUAAAUAGAGCCAAAGCAGUUUCCCCCUGCUUCCAGUCUUACUGCUGAACAAAGAUAGUCACCUCCUGACUCUAUAGCUUCACACUUGGUGCACCGACAUGAGAGGGGUACUGAUCUUAUGUAAUGCUCGAAAAAGAAAGCAAAUAAGUCAAUUUCUGAAAGUGUCAAACUAUUCCAGGGUCAUUCUACAAGCACAAACCAACCUCUGGCUUCAAAUAUAAUUCUUUACUUUGCCUGUGGUCAGAUCUAACCCCAGCAGGUCACUUAAGGGUUAAGCAUUACUUAUCGUGCUAAUAUAAGAUUUUAUUAUGCACCACAGAUGUACAAAGUUAUUAUAACAUCAUUUGUGCUAUAAUAAACAAUAUUUAUUAAUUAAUGUACUUCCUGUUUACAGGAGGAGUUUCUCCUUUUCAUUACGUGCUCACACAGACAAAGAGAGUGAAACGAGGGGAUAUGCUGGCAUUUACUUUUGUUAUUAUAAUUGUUAUUAUAAUAAUAAUAGUAAUCUUAAUAAUACUUGUUGUGGUUGUCGUUGUACUUGAUCAGUGUGACACUGCAGUGUGUUCUUAAACUGUUGGUUGAGAUGAGACAUACAAAAGAGAACAAGAAAUGUAUCGCGAUGUAUUAGAAAGUCCAACACUGAAUUAUUUUUAAGGAUGUGUUUGGAUGAUGUAAUGUGCUCAUGGAAAUGCUGCCUCCCCUCACCAAAGCCUGCCAGUCACAUUGUAACACCAAUGAUACAAUCAAUGCGUUUUUCAAAAUGACAAGAAGGGUUCGUUCGGGGUCAAAGUUUCAAGAGCAGGCAUAUGAUGAUGAUAAUGUUGCAUGUUGGAAGCUGACCACUGAUUAUCAAUUGUAACCAACCUUCCUCCUCUACGUAGAAAAAAGGACAAAAGUUAUUUAAUUUUCAGAUAUUCUUCUCUGGAUAGUGAGUAAGCUGUCAUAACUGUCACACAGAUUGUCAGAAACAGCUAAAAGUUCAUGCUUUCCCCACUAAAGGUAGUAGUUUCGAAGUGCAUGUAGAAGUUGCUGCUGGAGGAUCCCCCAUGAGCACUUUUUGCCAGACCCAGCAUGCACCUGCUGGUUACAUACCAUUUGGAUUUGUUUGAUUUCUGUCACUGGCUAGACG